rnacentral:rRNA from 1 species
UACGGGGGGAGCAAGCGUUGUUCGGAUUUACUGGGCGUAAAGGGCGCGUAGGCGGGAUGGCAAGUCGGUCGUGAAAGACCUCGGCUCAACUGAGGAGCGUCGAUCGAUACUGCCGUUCUUGAGGAUUGCAGAGGAGACUGGAAUUCCCGGUGUAGCGGUGAAAUGUGUAGAGAUCGGGAGGAACACCGGUGGCGAAGGCGGGUCUCUGGGCAAUUCCUGACGCUGAGGCGCGAAAGCUAGGGGAGCGAAUGGG